CCUACGGGUGGCAGCAGUGAGGAAUAUUGGUCAAUGGGCUUACGCCUGAACCAGCCAAGUCGCGUGAGGGAAGACUGCCCUAUGGGUUGUAAACCUCUUUUGUCAGGGAGCAAUUGGCGCCACGGGUGGCGUCACUGAGAGUACCCGGAGAAAAAGCAUCGGCAAACUCCGCGCCAGCAGCCGCGGUUAUACGGAGGAUGCGAGGUUUAUCCGGAUUUAUGGGGUUUGAAGGUUGCGUAGGCGGAUCGUUAAGUGAGUGGUCAAAUGGAGGGGCUCAACCCCUUCCUGCCAUUGUAACUGGCAGUCUUGGGUGGAAGAGAAGUAUGCGGAAUGCGUGGUGUAGCGGUGAAAUGCAUAGAUAUCACGCAGAACCCCGAUUGCGAAGGCAGCAUGCCGGCUUCCGACUGACGCUGAAGCACGAAAGCGUGGGGAUCGAACAGGAUUAGAUACCCUAGUAGUC
rnacentral:rRNA from 1 species